AACAAUCUCAUUGAUGCCAUCUAUUGUGAAGAGCAAUCAAAUCCUAUGCAUACUCUCCCUGCAUCACGCACUACCCAAUUUGAAGACCAGGCCAAAACUGAUCAAAAUAACAUGGUGUCAGGCACUUUACAUGUGUCAGAACAGAGAACAGGGAAACGCAUGACACGGAAGCCUGCUAAAUAUUCUUCACCCUUCAAGUAUGGAAUUAUGUCCCGUCCUGCACCCAAUGUGGACGCAGCAAUGAGUCUCUUUGGACACAUGUGCGCUGAUGACUCCACAUUGAAAAGCAUGCCGGUGAUCCAGUUUGGUAGCACCCCUUUAACUUGUGACAUGAUUGCACAAUCAUUUGCCGAUGGUGCAAUCCCAGACUCAACUUUUAUCACAGGAUUUGUCAAAUGUCUUAGCUAUGAUGAUUAUUGGAUCCGAGUGCC